AACGAACGCUGGCGGCAUGCCUAACACAUGCAAGUCGAACGAGACCUUCGGGUCUAGUGGCGCACGGGUGCGUAACGCGUGGGAACCUGCCCUUAGGUUCGGAAUAACUCCCCGAAAGGGGUGCUAAUACCGGAUAAUGUCUUCGGACCAAAGAUUUAUCGCCUUUGGAUGGGCCCGCGUUGGAUUAGCUAGUUGGUAGGGUAAAAGCCUACCAAGGCGACGAUCCAUAGCUGGUCUGAGAGGAUGAUCAGCCACACUGGGACUGAGACACGGCCCAGACUCCUACGGGAGGCAGCAGUGGGGAAUAUUGGACAAUGGGCGAAAGCAUGAUCCAGCAAGGCCGCGUGAGUGAUGAAGGCCUUAGGGUUGUAAAGCUCUUUUACCCGGGAUGAUAAUGACAGUACCGGGAGAAUAAGCUCCGGCUAACUCCGUG
rnacentral:rRNA from 1 species